rnacentral:rRNA from 1 species
AACGAACGCUGGCGGCAGGCCUAACACAUGCAAGUCGAGCGGACCCUUCGGGGUUAGCGGCGGACGGGUGAGUAACGCGUGGGAAUAUGCCCUUCUCUACGGAAUAGUCCUGGGAAACUGGGGGUAAUACCGUAUACGCCCUUUGGGGGAAAGAUUUAUCGGGGAAGGAUUAGCCCGCGUUGGAUUAGGUAGUUGGUGGGGUAAUGGCCUACCAAGCCGACGAUCCAUAGCUGGUUUGAGAGGAUGAUCAGCCACACUGGGACUGAGACACGGCCCAGACUCUUACGGGAGGCAGCAGUGGGGAAUCUUAGACAAUGGGGGCAACCCUGAUCUAGCCAUGCCGCGUGAGUGAUGAAGGCCUUAGGGUUGUAAAGCUCUUUCAGCUGGGAAGAUAAUGACGGUACCAGCAGAAGAAGCCCCGGCUAACUCCGUG